rnacentral:lncRNA from 1 species
CUCUCAUACCAUUGAUCGGGCACUGUGUGAUCGGGACUGUUACUUGACGUGCUUGCGCGGGACAAGACUUGUUGAUUGCUUGCGCGGGGUAAGGCUUGAGUUGCUCGCGCGGGGCAAGGCUUUUUUGAUUGCUUGCGCGGGGCAAAGCUUUAGUUGCUUGCGCGAAGCAAGGCUUUUUUGAUUGCUUGCGCAGGGUAAGGCUUGAGUUGCUUGUACGAGGCAAGGCUUUUUGUAGCUAGAUCAUAUUUUGACGAAUUGCUUAAUUCUGAUUAUACUUUAAAAACAGACUUGGCACGCAGGCCUGACAACUAAAAACGUGAACCUUGGCAUGCAGGCCUGACUAUCGAAAAAUAAAACUUGGCACGCAGGCCUGACAAUUGAAAACGUGAACCUUGAUGCGCAGGCCUGACUACAAAUAACUGGAAGACCAAGUUACUUGUAAUAUAUCUUUAAAUUCUCGGCGUUGCAUGGUCUUGGAAGCGACCUUCCUGACGUAUCCCUUAAACUGUAUGCGCCUCCUUGGAGUUGUCGUAUGACUUCGAAGGGCCCUUCCCAAACUGGUCCUAGCUUGCCCGGGGCAUGACCUGUUACUUUAGCCCUUCUUAACACAAGGUCUCCGGCUCUAAAUCUCCGCGUCCUUACUUUUUUAUUGAAGUACUUUGCUAUUUUAUACUGGUAGGAAGCCAUUUUUAAAGCUGCCCGAUCCUGAACUUCUUCCAAGAGGUCGAGGUGUUCAGUUGUGCGCCCUGCAUCUUCGGGCUCGAGCCUCCUUUGGCUGGGCAACCUGACUUCAACAGGGAUGGUGGCCUCAAUUCCAAAAGCCAACAUGAAGGGGGUUUCCCCUGUAGCAGUUUUGUGUGACGUUCUAUACGUCCAAAGUAUGAAAGGCAACUCGUCAGACCAGGAACCUCUUGCAUCACCGAUCCUUGUACGGAGGUCUUGCAAUAUAAUCCGAUUGGUCACUUCGACGAGACCAUUACUUUGAGGAUGGGAAACCGAUGUCAAACGGUGAUCAACCCCUAGGUCGGUAUAAAAGUUUUUAAAUUGUGCAUUGUCAAAUUGCCUGCCAUUAUCAGUUAUGAGGUCUUUCGAUAUCCCGAACCUACAUAUGAUGGAUCUCCAAAUGAAACUUCUUAACUUCGGCUCUGAAAUUGUUGCUAAAGGCUCGGCCUCUACCCACUUAGUGAAAAACUCUACAGCCACAGCCACAAACUUCAAUUGUCCCCUACUUAUUGGAAAGGGACCAAGGAUGUCAAUUCCCCACUACUCAAAUGGGGCUGUGCAAGUAAUGCUAGUGAGGUCUUCUGCGGGAGGGUGGAUGACAUUGCCAGAUCUUUGGCACUUGUCACACUUCUUGACAUAUUCCUGGGCGUCUUUCUUCAUGGUUGGCCAAUAAUAUCAAUACCUUAUGAGCUUGAAGGCUAAAUCCCGUUCUCCUUGAUGGUUCCCAAAUACACCUUCAUGAACUUCUUCUAGGGCCUGGGAUGAUUCGGAAGGCCUAAGGCAUCUGAGGUACGGAAGUGUGAGGCUCCUGCGAAAUAAAAUACCUUCAAUCAUGCAAUACCUCGGAGCUUUGGACCGGAUGCUUCUCGCUGCCCGAGGAUCUGUUGGAAGACUGCCAUGUUUUAUAAAGUCCACUAUUGGGUCCAUCCAUGAUGUCUCAUUAUCAAUAUCCAUGACGUCUACAGUCUGAUUGAUGCUUGGCUCGGUUACAAUUCUGACGUGGACUGUCCUGUCAAGCCCCUCUAAUCCCAUGAACACCAAUCUUGACAAGACAUCUGCCCUACAAUUCUCAACCCGAGAAAUUUUUACAAUUUCACAACUCUUGAACUUUCU